GCCUGCCCUCCAGCCUCACUCACCACCUUGGACACAGCGGAACUCAGGUCUGCCAGCCUCUCCACUACUCCCCUGGACUAUCGCUGCCUCUCACUCAAAGCGAGGUUCACGCCGGUCACCAACGCAACCGCUCCGUUCCCGUCGCAACCUGCUAGACCCCCGUUCACCCCCACUGUCACACGGUUACAUCAUUAGCGACACCCUGCCACAUAUUCACUUGUUGACUAAAUAAUAAACACUGCAAAACCUUGA